UACGGGGGGGGCAAGCGUUGUUCGGAAUUACUGGGCGUAAAGGGCUCGUAGGCGGCCAACUAAGUCGGAUGUGAAAUCCCCAGGCUUAACCUGGGAACUGCAUCCGAUACUGGAUGGCUUGAAUCCGGGAGAGGGAUGCAGAAUUCCAGGUGUAGCGGUGAAAUGCGUAGAUAUCUGGAGGAAUACCGGUGGCGAAGGCGGCUUUCUGGACAGUAACUGACGCUGAGGCGCGAAAGCUAGGGGAGCAAACAGGG
rnacentral:rRNA from 1 species